UACGUAGGGUGCAAGCGGUGUACGGAAUUAUUGGGCGUAAAGAGCUCGAAGGCGGUUUGUCGCGUCUGCUGUGAAAGUUCGGGGCUCAACCCCGGAACUGCAGUGGGUACGGGCAGACUAGAGUGCGGUAGAGGAGACUGGAAUUCCUGGUGUAGCGGUGGAAUGCGCAGAUAUCAGGAGGAACACCAGUGGCGAAGGCGGGUCUCUGGGCCGCAACUGACGCUGAGGAGCGAAAGCGUGGGGAUCGAACAGG
rnacentral:rRNA from 1 species